UCUGUAAAGAAAAGUAUUUUCUGUUAAUUUUUUUAAUUUUUGGCCAAAUUAUUUUCUCUUUGUCAUUAAAGUCAAAUGUCUAUCUGGCUCACCACAAAGUGUUCUUUGAUUUUGGCUUUGAGGCUGCCAUUUCUGGAAUAAGGGGGGAUGGGAAACAGCUGACUUCAAUUACCGUGCUGUAUAUUACCGUGCUGUAUACCUAUCUACUUUUCUGGGCAGCUGAUGGAGCUCUGGAAGAAACACCAAAGCCUGCUGGAAAGGAAAGCGUUUGAAGAAAGAAUUGUCCUCCUGUAGGUUCCAUUCCUUCGGAUGGGCCUACCUUACCAUUGUUAGGACAGCGUGAGUAGACCUGCUUGCUCUUCUCACUUUCCUCAUUGGCUUAUUAAUUAGCUCCUUACUUUGUUGCCUUUGCUUCAAAUGGUUUGAGUCACCAACAGACUUGUUUGGGAGUGGCCUCAGUAAAUGACAGAAAAACUGACAGGCUCAGUUUUGGAAGACAGCAAACUGGUAAGGUUCAUUCCUGGCUCGGUGCCAGGAACAUUUGUGUUUUGGAGCUCACUUUUAGUUUUGAAACGGCCUUUGCUCGUUAUAUUGUGAUCCAGUACAUUUUAUGUUAAAUUGUUUAUCAGCCAUUUCUGUUGUGAACUGUAGAAGAUCUUAAAUUGGGAUUGGACUCACUCUCUGUUCCACAAACAUAGAUGUAACCCUCUACCUCUCCUUACCCAACUUAUUACCACCAUACUGUGAUGUUUUGGGUUGUACAUUUUGUUUAAUAAAAGAUUAAAGAAUUUAUGAAGUUGGCUUGGACAAGUUUAAAUCCAUUUUUAAUGUGUUAAAUUUUUUUUGGAAUAAAUGUAUUCAUCUUCUACUUCUUCCUGUAUGUUUGUCUUGACACCACACAAAUUGGAACUUCAAAAGAAACUAGAAUAGUGAAUGGCUGCCCUGUCCACUGCAGCCUACAACUGUCCUUCUCCAGAGCCACUUCCUUCUCAUCAGGAUCAGAGAUUGUACAGUCUCCCCUGUGCUGCCAGAGUGUAGAGGGAAGGUGGCUCCCCCAGGCACUUCUGGAAGUGGAGCUCUGAAUGGGCAUUCAGGUGCUGGGUGGGAUGCACUUGGGAGUCAGGGAGCCCAUGCCUCGGGGUUCAAAACUGUUGCAGUUUCCUCAUGCUGUUCCUUUGUCAGACUGUGUAACCUGCUUCAACAGAGACUUGAGCAGAGCCAGCCUCCGCCUGCUCCUCAGCAUUCCUUCAAUUCCUUUCUGCAGGGUUCCUGUCCCAUUGCCUUAUCUACAGAACCCCUAGUUUGAGUUUGGUGAGAAUAUUUUGUUUUUUAGACUCUUAAUUCCAACUUACAAGUUCUGACCUCUGUUGUGAAAAGGCAUGGAUGUGAGAGUCCUUGACUACGUCCCCGCCAUUUGCUUUGCCUUGUUUUUGAUGAGUUUCUUUACAUCAUUGUGUUCUAGUUGGCAUUUGUCUUUAUUCCUUUAAAGGUGAGGGUUAUUACUUCAUCUCAGAAUCAAAUAUGUACAGAAUCCGAGUAACCUUGGUAGGAGUGGGAGAGAGUAUGAGAAUGCAUGCACAUGGAUGUCAGAAGACAGCUUUGAGGAGUUGAUUCUGGGGGCUGGACGUGGGCCAUCAGUGGAAGCACGUCUACAUACUGUUCCUCGGGUCUUAAGCUAAAGUUUGAGUUGAGUGUUCUCUUGGCCUGGAAACCAUAGAGUGACUCAAAAAAUUGCUCUUAGAAAAGCUUAAACUCAGUGGAUUUUAAAAGAUCACUUCUUCAGAAAACUGCUCCUUUCUUGUUAUAGGAGGUUAUCUAUGGGAAUUUAAGGAAAAAUAAAUUUAAAUGCCAGUUUGUACUGACUUUCAGGCCUCAGUUCCGCUUCUCUCUUGGGGAGAGAAAUUAAUCAUACCUAGAUUUAACUUCACUCCCUAGGUUGGGGGGGCAGGUACUUGGAAGGAGUAGAAAGGACAAGGCAAUAAAUACCUAAGGAGGGCAGACCUACCAUAGGCAGCCAGAGCCAAAACUCCACAGAGGACGGUGAGCCUUAACUUUCCCUUAUAACUGCAGAAUGGCUUCGGGGCUUAUUCUAAAGUUGUCUGUAAAUCUAGGGUUUCCUCUGGAAUAGUCCCUGGAAGGAAUGGCAUUCUUCAACUCUACCCUGAACCCACAGAGGGAACAGAUUUUAGGACACUAGUUUGCAGGAAGUGCUGCCAUCGCCCUUUGAUAAACUGCAUCUAGCUUUGGAGCCUGUCCAGAGAAGCCAUGUGAAAGUGCAGAACUCUAGUCCAGUAGCAGGUACUUAGACAUUUUAAAGGUUUAUCUUAUGGAACUAAAAGUUUGGUCAUGGGGCUGGAGAGAUGGCUCAGCAGUUAAGAGCACUGACUGCUCUUCCAGAGGUCUCAAGUUCAAUACCCAGUACCCGCAUGGUGACUCACUGCCAUCUGCAAUGGGAUCUGAUGCCCUCUUCUGGUGUGUUUGUAGACAGCUACAGUGUACUCAUAUAAAUAAAAUAAAUCUUUUAAAAAAGAUUUUAAAACAGUUUGACCUUGGAGGUGAGGAAUGGGCUCUGGUCUUUUACACAGGCUUUGUUGCAAUAUCAUUAUGUUUAAGUCCAGAACAAUUUUUUUCUUAAUUUAUGUUCAUUGGUGUUUUGCCUGCAUGUAUGUCUGUGUGACCGUGUCAGAAGCCCCAGACCUGGGAUUACAGACAGGUAUGAGCUGCCAUGUGGGUGCUGGAGAUUGAACCCAGAUACUCUGGAAUAGCAGCUAGUGUUCUUAACUGCUGAGCUUUCUCUUUAGUUCCCCCCUUCCUUCUAAAUUUUUACUCGACAACUUCAGCAGUAAGAAAUUAACAGUAGUGUUUAAAUAUGGACAAAUGCCUACUUUCACCCAGUUCUUUCAGUUAUUCCCUGAAAGGCCCCUGUGCUUUGUGAAUGCUUUUUUUCUGCUGUAUAUAGCAUCUUUUCCCUAUUUAUAACUGGUCUCACAGAGCCUGUAAUACUCUAGUGCUCUUUCUGCUAAUACUACUGAGCAAUACAGUAAAGUAGUCUUCACCUAUUUCAUCUCUCAAAACUGAGAAAGCAAAAAAAGGGUUUUGCAUACAAAAAUAUGUCUUGUCCGAUUGUCAGCUUCUGGGACUGAAGAAAAUGGACAUGCAAGAUAUAAUUACAGUGGCGGGAGGGUAAGUAGAAGGAUGCUCGGGAGCGUGUGAAGCUGUUAAGGAGGGGUGGUUUCAUUUUCACGUAUUUCAAAGAACUGGGUCUCCUCACUGAGGCUUAUGUACUAGAUCCAGUAAGAAUCCAAGUCCUCACUUGUUGACAGUUUAGAUGAAAAUAUAUAAAUAUAGAGUAUAUCUGACUUUUUUUAGAAUUUGCAUUUUUAUGCAUUUGUAUAAUUAGUGACUGUUUAAUCCACUGUAGCACGAAUAUCUAGGUGGUUCUUUCUUUCUUUCUUUCUUUCUUUCUUUCUUUCUUUCUUUCUUUCUAAGAUGAUAGUUAAAACAUUCCCUUUUCUCACUCCAAACCCUCCUAUAUAUCCUUCCUCGCUCUGUUUCAAAUUCAGGACCCACUUUUUCAUUCAUUGUUAUUACAUGCAUAUAUAUGUACAUAUAUAUAUGUCUGAUUAUAAGCAGCCUAUAUAAUGUCACUUGUAUGUGUGUAUUCAGGGCUCUAUUUCUAUUAAAUAAUCAGUUGAUGUGCUCUUCUCUGGAGAAGCCUGUUUCUCAGCAUGCCUUGGUUUCCUAUAGUUCCUUGUGUAGGUUGAAGCCUCAUAGGUGUGUCUGUUGGUAUCUUCCUUGCUCAGCUGAUGUCUAGGCAGUCACGAUGAUGAGACUUUAUGGGUGUACCUCCUGGCAUUACUAGGAGACACAAUCUCACAGCAAACUUUCGGAUCCUCUGGCUCUUUCUUACAAUGCUUCGCGCUCCCCGAACCUCAAGUGCAGGGGUAUUUUGUAUAUGUAUCCAUUGAUCCAUUGGGCCUAGGUAGAGUUUGAUUUUGCAAUUAUGUUUAUUUAAUUUCAUUUUGGUCUUAUGUGAUGUGUUUUUUUUUUUUUAAAGACAGCUUCUCACACUAGUCCAGGCUAGCCUAGAAUUAACUGUGCAGAAAAGGCUAGACCUAAAUUUAUAAAAGUCUUCUUGCCUUUACCUCUCAAGGGCCAGGAUUACAGGUAUAUGCCAACAUAUCUGGCUUGCUUGUAUAAUUUAAUUCUGUAUACAAUAAUAGUCUCAUGGAUAGUACAAUUUUUAAAGUUUAUAAUUGUAAAAAAAAAAUAACCAGUAUCCAGAUACCUUGACCCAUAUACACUUGGAAGGAAAUAUCCAUAAGUGUGUAUGCUUAUGUAGAAGCAUUUAACAUGGUUAUAAUUUUAUUUCUGUGCGUCUGUUGGCUAAUCCAUGUGCACUGACUGCGCUAUAAGAGAAAUCACUCUUUGCUUACUCUGCUUUUCUCCCUUUGUAUUCAUAGUGCACAAUUGCCCUCCCCUCCAAUAGAAAAUCUCAAUAAAAAUGUUGGAAAAAAUCACUAUGGUAAUAGUUAUUUUCCUUAACUGACUGUCAAUACUUAGCAAUUUGUAUAUGGAUUAAAACUCAGUUGCUGCCUAUGUCUGCUGGGUGCUUAGCAUUCUAGAAGCCAACUGUCUUUUUGUUCUCCUGUCCUGGUUCUUUGUGUACAAAGCUCUGUGGAAGUUAAUGCGAUCAAGUUCGCAGGCGGUCCUCUCGUACAGUAACAUUCUGGAGCCAUGGUACCAGAUGAGAUGGGGAACACUGCCCUUACACCUCCUAGAAAAGAAACUGAAAUGUAAGGAGGUCACCUGACUAAGCUAAGAGCUGCUAAGAAAAGGCUGGAGGCAUUUUGAGAACGCUGAUUUUCAACUGGUCUGACUUUCAGUGCUGGUGCCAGCUGGUCAGACUCCAGACUUCCUGUGAUCUAGCUGAAGAAGUAAUUCAGUGUUUUAUGUCCUAAUAUCUUCUUGACAUUUCAGCAAAACUAAAACUAACUGUUUCAUUCAUGGGUAAAAAUAAAAACAUAAAAGAUUAUCUUUCAGGGGAAAACUAAUUUUGUUUGUAUUGACUGCUCUGUUUCAACUUCUGACAAUGAAAAUGCAUUUUAUAUAAAAAUACUUUAUACAUGUAAAAAGUAUAAAUUCACACACAAGACAAGAUUAUGUUGGAGUUGUCUGGUACUAAAAAAAAUUAUAAAUCUGGGUUUUGUUUUGUUUUUUUAAUCCUUCUGUGUGCUAAAACCCAUUUUUUUUCAAAGCUGUGUUUAACCUCUGUCAUUUGUUUUCUUUCCAUCAGUACCAAUAGAUCCUGGGUUUUUACCCCUCAAGACUUAAUAAACUACUGCCACUGUUCUCAGGGCAAUACACCUUCUUUAAGAAUCUCCAGCCAUUUUUUUAUUUUGCUUAUGUACAAACACUUGGACAUUAAAUGUUAUAAAUC
rnacentral:lncRNA from 1 species